CCUGGUGGAAGUCAGAGCCGCCCUAGUGCUGGUCAACUACUGAGCCUUUUGCCUUCUCAGAUGGGGACCCUGGAGUCCAGAGAAAGGGCAAAUGAAAAACUCAGGAACCCUUGGGACCAGGAACAAGGGGGCCUCUCAUCCCCCAGCUUCUCUGAGGAGGAAGAGGAGGAGAAAAAACCCCCACGGAGGAACCGGGAUAGACCACCUACUUGCUGCUCCUGGGCAUCCUGGGCCAUCCUCGGUGCUGGACCGCUGCUAGGGUGUCGUAAGUUCCAGGGUCAGCAUCUGCCCCAAAGAGGACACUCUCCCACCAGGCUUAUGAUGAAAAGAUUUGGGACCAUGAGUCUGCCUCAAGGAGUCUUGUGCCUUAAGGGAGAUGCUGCAGAAGGCCAGGGAAGCCAGCCCCACACCGGGAAGACCCCACGGCAGCCCAGGCUCACACAGUGGAGGCCUCAGAUGCAGCAGCCAAGCAAGAAAAAAUAUCUUGGAGCAAUCCAGCCUCCUCUGCCCCUCCAGAAUCCCUGGCUCAUGCUGGAGUGUGGAUCUCUGCACCCUCCCUAGGCAAGCCAUCAUUGGUAGGUGAGUUUUUAAAGUUUUUCUUUCAGAUCUCUUCUACUUCUUUUUUUUUUUUUUUCUGGCCUAAGUGGGGAUGGGGUUGUGAAUAGACUGUGCAGUAGAAGCAGAGACACUGUAUCUUUUUAUCUGG